rnacentral:lncRNA from 1 species
UAAAUGCGCCGUGCACCCUGGUCUCUGUAGAGCUCAUUCCCCAGAGCAGUCCCUGACUUGCAGAAGUCCCCGCAGCACUCCCACGCUGAGGCACGUCUCCUGCUUGAUCACCCUCAGUCACUGCUGGCCCCUGCCAUCCCUGAGUCAUGGGGCAAACAGGAAUUGUCCAGGAUGAGCUCAUGCAAACACAAAUCCUGGGAUGCUCCCUGCUUGACAGACAGCCCAAUAAUGGAGGAGGGAGAGCAGCCCACUAGCAAUAUGACUGACCGGGAGGGGACAUCCUGAUUGAAGUUCAGUCCUUUACCCUGCAG